rnacentral:rRNA from 1 species
GUGGGGAAUUUUGGACAAUGGGCGCAAGCCUGAUCCAGCAAUGCCGCGUGCAGGAAGAAGGCCUUCGGGUUGUAAACUGCUUUUGUACGGAACGAAACGGUCCUGGUUAAUACCUGGGGCUAAUGACGGUACCGUAAGAAUAAGCACCGGCUAACUACGUGCCAGCAGCCGCGGUAAUACGUAGGGUGCAAGCGUUAAUCGGAAUUACUGGGCGUAAAGCGUGCGCAGGCGGUUUUGUAAGACAGGCGUGAAAUCCCCGGGCUCAACCUGGGAAUUGCGCUUGUGAAUGCAAGGCUGGAGUGCGGCAGAGGGGGAUGGAAUUCCGCGUGUAGCAGUGAAAUGCGUAGAUAUGCGGAGGAACACCGAUGGCGAAGGCAAUCCCCUGGGCCUGCACUGACGCUCAUGCACGAAAGCGUGGGGAGCAAACAGGAUUAGAUACCCGAGUAGUCC